rnacentral:lncRNA from 1 species
ACAAGAGCCUCAGAGCAAGCCAUCUCAUUACCCAUACAGACAGAAGGGAGGUUUGAAACUUUACUGUCAACUUGCUGACUAAAUGCAGACCAAUCACUAGGUUUUUUAUCAGCAGCACUUCUACAAUUCCACUGUAGGAGUACCUGAUCCAUUAUUGGGAUUGAUAGACACAGUGUUUUCAAUUAGUUGGGCAACGUGAGACGGUAUAGAAUUGGUGGGAAUUAAACUGGAUUUAAACAAAAGCUCAAUAAGAGACAAAAUUAAUUUUGCUAUGGGUUGGUUUGAUUUAUCAUUUUCUGAGUUAUCAUUUUUCAGAGCAGAACCAUUUGGUGAAGAUAGAGGAAUAUCAUAAUCUUUUAUAAGGGAUGCAUGUGCAGCCCGGUCAUACCCAGCCGAAGGCGUAGGAGGAGCACGAGGCUUAAGGAAAACUGUCUUUUUAUAUGAGCUGGAAGAUGGGGACAAUCGAGCUGCUGGGUUAGCAGCCUCAUCUUGAGAUUGUUUAUGUUGCGGAGUUCUAAGAACGUCAGCAAAAGAUUUGGAGACAAUGGGAUGUAAUUUGGAAGCCUCUAAAUAUGAGAUGCAGUUUUGAGCCAUUGACACUUUGAUAUUUUUUUGUCGGGAAAAUUCAGGACAAGCCUUACUAGUGGCAAAAUGAUAGCCAGAACAAAGACAACAUGAUCCAUCCUCUUGUUCUACUGAACAAGAUUCGGCAGUAUGACCUUGCCCGCAUUUAUAGCAGCGAGGCUUGGAGCGGCAUUGAGCCUUUGUAUGACCAAAACGGCAGCAGCUGUAACAUUGAAUGGUUGGGUAAAUGUACAAGUCGACAGUCAAUGGAGUAUAGCACAUAAACACACGUUUUGGUAAUACUUGUCCAUCGAAAGUUAAAACAACUGUUUCAGUGUUAGUAAAUUCUGGAGACCCAUUUAUAA